AUGCUUCGUAUGUACCCCACUUCAUCUCCAACGCCUUCUGCUUGGAUCGGUAAGCUUUGUUGUAGCUAAUCAGGUACUUGAACCUUUCCUCUAUGGCACAAACAAUCGAUUUAGGCUCGUAGCUAGGAUUCUUCACUAUUUGAGGAUAUAAGUAUUGAGCAACAAAAUCAGCUGUAAGACUAUGGUGUUGUCCUUCCAAUUCAUCCAACAAGCAUUGGUGCUUCACUACUAUAGCCACCUCCUAGUAAUUCUUCCACUUCCCCUUGUAUGUGUGUACCCUAAACGGGCAAUUGCUUCUGACAAAACACACAUCAUACACUAUCGGUUGCUCUUCACCUCCCUGAACUGCCAUUGUAAAGAUAAAGUGGACCAUCGCUUCACAACUUUCUUUACCUCAUCCCCACUCAAGUACAAAGCACCCAUACAAACCUCAUUCUCCUUGUACUCCCAAGGGACAUUUUCCCCUUCAUCGACUUGUAGGUUGUAAUGGUCAUAAGUUGACCUAUUCCGCGGGAUAGGAUUAGCAUCAUCCUCAUCUGACGAGUCAUCAUCCAUGGCACCAAGGUCCUCUUCUCCUUCCCUCUCUACUUGCUCAACUAACCCAAGGAUGUCUUCCCCCUCAUCAGCCUCGCCAUUUGGCUCAUAGGGUGCCUCUGCAUCCUCAGCAUCUUCUUCUUCUACCCCAUCUUCAUUAUUUUCUUUAGUUUUCCUAUUAAUAAUCUCCACACCUUCCUCGCCUCUAACUUUCCCACCUCUCACUUCUUCUUGCAAUUGACUGCUAGAUCUAAUCUUCCGGAACACUUCAACAAACAAUAUCAGCGGUAAACCCCGCUGAGUACAAGCAUUUACAUAGGCCUCCAGUUCUGGGUUCCUUCAAGCGGCAUCAACUUCCAAAAAAUUAUAUCAAGCCGAAACCUCACUAUAGCCGUAACAGAUAGCUCAACUUGAUAUCUAUCAAGAUUGAAACCCUUAAAUAGCCAGUUGCAUAUUGAAGCCCAAGUCCUCUCUCUUGCUCUUGGUAAUUAUUAGACUGAAAUUUAGACAAAUCUACCCCUUCUGGAACAUAUCUAACCUCCCCCCGACCAUAGAACACUUGGAAAAAUAAACUUUCCAACAUGCCUAUCAAUAUACACAACAUGAACAUAUAUUAUUACUAAAUGUUCUUAAUUUAACUUCCAACAACACCUACAUUUUAACAACUAUAGAAACAUCUAACUCAUGCAUUGCCAAUAAUAACACUUUUAGAAAAACUAAAUAUAUCAACAAAAUUCGGAAAAACUAAAUAUUACUAAAUUUAAUUAAUCCUAAUCAACAGAUAGCACUACAUCAACAGAGAGCAUUACUAAAUAUUACUAAAUUUAACUAACCCUAAUCACACCUACAUUUCAAAAAAAUAUAUAAAGAUAUGCACGACAUGAACACAAAUUAUAACUAAAUGUAAUAAUUUUAACUAACCCCCAAAACACGUACAUUAUGAAUAACUAUAUAAAAUACAACUCAUGCAUUGCCAAUAAUAUUCAUAAAUAACUAAGCUAAAUCGAUUAUACCAACAAACCUAUAUUUUUCUAUGUCUCAUAUGAACACCUAGAUUUCAUCUAAUACUAAACACUACACUAUCUAUAUAGCAUAUCAACUACUACAUCUACCAACUACGAGUUAAGCUAAAUUAGGAGAUUUCUAGUAAUACCUCAAGGGAAGCGAAGAUCCGGGCUUCAAUCUCAACCCUACUCCCCUCCUCUCCUCCCUCCCUUUCUUCCUCUUCUCUCCCAGUUUCUCUUGGCUCC
rnacentral:lncRNA from 1 species